rnacentral:rRNA from 1 species
UACGGGGGGAGCAAGCGUUGUUCGGAUUUACUGGGCGUAAAGGGCGCGUAGGCGGUCAGCACAAGUCAGUUGUGAAAUCUCCGGGCUUAACUCGGAAAGGUCAACUGAUACUGUGCGACUAGAGUGCGGAAGGGGCAACUGGAAUUCUCGGUGUAGCGGUGAAAUGCGCAGAUAUCAGGAGGAACACCAAUGGCGAAGGCAGCUCGCUGGGACGUGACUGACGCUGAGACGCGAAAGCGUGGGGAGCAAACAGG